UUCAUUCUUGUUCUAAGGGUUUUUGGCACUCACCAUUUCUCUCCAAGUCUUUGCACUUUCUCACCAACCAAACACCACUAUUUCUCUCUAACUAUUUCUAGAAUCAUAAGGAUUUCUCCUACAUCAUUCGACUAGAGGAAGCACCCAAGGAGAUUUUGCAAAGUUUAUACAAUCGGAUUUUUGAAGCUAGUGGGGCCUAUGUUGAGGGAAAGAAGCUUGCUAGAGACACUGGACUUAUAUAACCUAAGUUACGAAAGUCGUAUGGAGUCUGUUGGAUUUUAUCCCUUGAUGGAUCUUUGGUUUUGGGGAGGCAGCAAAGCGAGAACUUAGGAAAGUUUCUAUGGCCCUCUACUACUGAAUGGGCCUAAAACAAUAUCUUUUGGUGAUAGUAUUUUGAGGAUAUUUUGGAAAAACAGUAUUUUGAUGGCCCCUUUGUUUUGGGGAAAUGGUUUUGAAACAAUUAUGUCUUUUGGAAAGACUUGCUUAUGGAAGUGUUAUCUUUUGGGAUUUU